rnacentral:rRNA from 1 species
ACGGGUGAGUAAUACAUCGGAACGUGCCCAAGAGUGGGGGAUAACGGAGCGAAAGCUUUGCUAAUACCGCAUACGAUCUACGGAUGAAAGCAGGGGACCGCAAGGCCUUGCGCUCAUGGAGCGGCCGAUGGCAGAUUAGGUAGUUGGUGGGAUAAAAGCUUACCAAGCCGACGAUCUGUAGCUGGUCUGAGAGGACGACCAGCCAUACUGGGACUGAGACACGGCCCAGACUCCUACGGGAGGCAGCAGUGGGGAAUUUUGGACAAUGGGCGCAAGCCUGAUCCAGCCAUGCCGCGUGCAGGAUGAAGGCCUUCGGGUUGUAAACUGCUUUUGUACGGAACGAAAAGCCUCUUUCUAAUAAAGAGGGGUCAUGACGGUACCGUAAGAAUAAGCACCGGCUAACUACGUGCCAGCAGCCGCGGUAAUACGUAGGGUGCGAGCGUUAAUCGGAAUUACUGGGCGUAAAGCGUGCGCAGGCGGUAAUGUAAGACAGAUGUGAAAUCCCCGGGCUCAACCUGGGAACUGCAUUUGUGACUGCAUUGCUGGAGUGCGGCAGAGGGGGAUGGAAUUCCGCGU